UACAGAGGGUGCGAGCGUUGUUCGGAAUUAUUGGGCGUAAAGGGUGCGUAGGUGGUCUUUUAAGUCUGUUGUGAAAUCCCUGGGCUCAACCUGGGAAUGGCAGUGGAUACUGGAAGGCUAGAGUGCGGUAGAGGGUAGUGGAAUUCCCGGUGUAGCAGUGAAAUGCGUAGAGAUCGGGAGGAACACCAGUGGCGAAGGCGGCUACCUGGACCAGCACUGACACUGAGGCACGAAAGCGUGGGGAGCAAACAG
rnacentral:rRNA from 1 species